CAAAAGAAAGGGCCAUGUGGGGCUAUAUUAUGAUGUAGGAGAGAUAGUAUCAUUAGUCCUCCAUCGAUUAUGAAUCAAAAGAAACUUUGGUUGAUAUAAGAUGGAACUUUUUAUUCUCCAUGAGAUAUCUUUAAAAGAAUAAAACUAUGAGUCCUUAUGUCAUAUGUGGAAGUAGAAACUAAUCCAUCCGAGUUAUGAGCCUUUGACCACGACAAAGAUGAAAGCUGAAUAGAAAUAUGGAUCAAUCAUUGGUGCUUUGAGAGCAUGCACCUUGAAUUCAAUGUGAUUGGUAUUGAUCACAUGUGAUGUCUGUAUCACUGAUUUAGAUAUGCG
rnacentral:lncRNA from 1 species